rnacentral:rRNA from 1 species
UUGAACGCUGGCGGCAUGCCUUACACAUGCAAGUCGAACGGUAACAGGUUAAGCUGACGAGUGGCGAACGGGUGAGUAAUGUAUCGGAACGUGCCCAGUCGUGGGGGAUAACUGCUCGAAAGAGCAGCUAAUACCGCAUACGACCUGACGGUGAAAGCGGGGGAUCGCAAGACCUCGCGCGAUUGGAGCGGCCGAUAUCAGAUUAGGUAGUUGGUGAGGUAAAGGCUCACCAAGCCGACGAUCUGUAGCUGGUCUGAGAGGACGACCAGCCACACUGGGACUGAGACACGGCCCAGACUCCUACGGGAGGCAGCAGUGGGGAAUUUUGGACAAUGGGCGCAAGCCUGAUCCAGCCAUGCCGCGUGCGGGAAGAAGGCCUUCGGGUUGUAAACCGCUUUUGUCAGGGAAGAAAAGGUUCUGGCUAAUACCUGGGACUCAUGACGGUACCUGAAGAAUAAGCACCGGCUAACUACGUG